GAUGCUGAGCUGUACGGACCCUUUACCAGUGCCCAGAUGCAGUUCUACAAUUCCAAGCGCAUUGAUUUUGAUCUCUACACAUGAGCCCGCUAAGGGCCCCGUUUGGCAGCCCCUUCUUUCUUGAACUUGGCAGAGGAGGUCCCAACUGCCCUGGGCAGUGAGGAUAUUGGAGGCCACUCUAAAGCCAGUGUCUCUUUGUCAAUAAAAGCCUUGAGUAUGCA
rnacentral:lncRNA from 1 species